rnacentral:rRNA from 1 species
CAAAUAAAAGAGGAAGCCAUAUAUUUGACCUUAACUUUACUUGUAAAGCUGAAAUUAGCACUUCUACGAGAUAUCCAAAUAGGUCUUUUGUCACCCUCAACAAACCACACCUACAAGACAGGGAUUAGAUACCCCAUUAUUGAGUGGCUCUACACAACAAACUCUAAAAACGAAAGUUCCAAACUUAAAGAACGUGGCGGUGUUCUACAACCUUAUUAGGGGAUCCUGUGGCUUAAUUCGAUAAUCCACGACCAAUAAAGCUUUACUAGUUCACAGCUUAUGUAUGGCCGUAUUAUGUCUGCAUAUUAAUAUAACAAUAGGAGACAAUUAAAGAAAUUUCCUUGAUAAUUCAGGUGACAUAUAGCCAAUGUAAAGCAGCUCAUGGGAUACAAAUAAAUAUACUACCAGUAACUAAUUUGAAAUUUUUACAAAAGGAGGACUUAAAAGUAAGUUUAAAACAACACUUUAAACUGAAUAAGAUCUAGAACGCGUACAAAUCGCCCGUCACUCCCGGCACUAAUUGGGAUAAGUCGUAACACAGUAGGGGUAACGGAAGUUGCUCCUAGAU